GCGGGUAUAUCUCAGUGGUAGAGCACAUGCUUAGCAUGCAUGAGGUCCUGGGUUCAAUCCCCAGUACCUCUA
rnacentral:tRNA from 1 species